rnacentral:rRNA from 1 species
CCUACGGGAGGCAGCAGUGGGGGAUAUUGGACAAUGGGCGGAAGCCUGAACCAGCCAAGUAGCGUGCGGGAUGAAGGCCCUACGGGUCGUAAACCGCUUUUGCACGGGGAUAACAGCCUCCACUUGUGGCGGUCUGCAGGUACCGUGCGAAUAAGGGCCGGCUAAUUCCGUGCCAGCAGCCGCGGUAAUACGGAAGGCCCAAGCGUUAUCCGGAUUCAUUGGGCUUAAAGGGUGCGUAGGCGGUCGGUCAAGUCAGCUGUAAAAUCGCGUGGCUCAACCGCGCCCCGCAGUUGAAACUGGACGCCUUGAGUGCACUACAGGCAGGCGGAAUUCGUGGUGUAGCGGUGAAAUGCAUAGAUAUCACGAGGAACCCCGAUUGCGAAGGCAGCCUGCCGGGGUGCGACUGACGCUGAGGCUCGAAGGUGCGGGUAUCAAACAGGAUUAGAUACCCGUGUAGUC